rnacentral:rRNA from 1 species
UACGUAGGGGGCGAGCGUUGUCCGGAUUUAUUGGGCGUAAAGAGCGUGUAGGCGGUUCGUUAAGUCUGUCGUGAAAUCCUGAGGCUCAACCUCGGGCGUGCGAUGGAUACUGCCGGGCUAGAGGAUGGUAGAGGCGAGUGGAAUUCCCGGUGUAGCGGUGAAAUGCGCAGAUAUCGGGAGGAACACCAGUGGCGAAGGCGGGUCUCUGGACAGUUCCUGACGCUGAGGCACGAAGGCCAGGGGAGCAAACGGG